AGCUUCUUGUUGCAUCCCAUAAGUAUGUAUACCUUUGUUAUUUUAAGAGUAUCUAUUUAGAUGCAACUAAUAGUUUGAAUUAAAGUGUGUUUUUAAUUUGGAAAAGAUAUGUUACAUCUAUGUCCAAGGAUGAUUGUAUCAAUUAUAAAGUGCCAUUUGUUUGCUUGUUGGAUCCACAGUUUCUAGAGUUACAGUUUCCAUUUUCCUAGAGCCACUGAUGUUUGGACUGUGGCUUUAACAUCUUUGUUGAUCGCCAAGAAGAAACCUUGAAAACUGCCUUGAGAAUGUAGCUAAUAUGUGUAUGAAAUACUUCAUUCUAUUACUGUGUUAUGGCCAUAAUUUUAAUUAAAGUCGUGCAAAUUGCAAUAUAAAACUAGAACUCUGCAUUGUUUUCAAAUUUAAAUCAACAAGGUGUCUUUUGUUUGAGAAAAUU
rnacentral:misc_RNA from 1 species